rnacentral:misc_RNA from 1 species
UACGGAGGGUGCAAGCGUUAUCCGGAUUUAUUGGGUUUAAAGGGUCCGUAGGCGGAAGAUUAAGUCAGUGGUGAAAUCCUGCAGCUCAACUGUAGAAUUGCCAUUGAAACUGGUUUUCUUGAAUAUGUACGAAGUGGGCGGAAUAUGACAUGUAGCGGUGAAAUGCUUAGAUAUGUCAUAGAACACCGAUUGCGAAGGCAGCUCACUAGUCCAUUAUUGACGCUGAGGGACGAAAGCGUGGGGAGCGAACAGG